rnacentral:rRNA from 1 species
UACAGAGGGUGCAAGCGUUGUUCGGAAUUAUUGGGCGUAAAGCGCGUGUAGGCGGCUUUGCAAGUCGGGUGUGAAAUCCCUCGGCUCAACUGAGGAACUGCCUUCCAGACUGCUUUGCUUGAGUCCGGGAGAGGUGAGUGGAAUUCCCAGUGUAGCGGUGAAAUGCGUAGAUAUCUGGAGGAACACCGGUGGCGAAGGCGGCAUCCUGGACCGGCAUUGACGCUGAGGCGCGAAAGCCAGGGGGAGACAAGCGG